CUCUCUCUCGCAUGCUCUCUCUCUCUCUCUCUCUGUCUCUGAUCUCUCCACCCAUGCACGGCCUCUCCACCCUACCGAGCGUUGCCGAACGGCCUACCCACGCACGCCCUCUCCAUCCUACCGCGCGUUGCCGAUCGGUUGAAGGCUAGCAUUCACGACCGUGAGAUGUUACCCUCCAUGAUUUGGAUGCUGCAAAUGCUCGCGCACAAGGAGGACAAGAUAUAUUAUCGCUCAUGGGCCAAAUGAUGAAACCUAGGAAGACUGAAGUUACUGAAAAGCUAUGACAAGAAACUAACAAGGUUUUUCUACUCGUUCUUUGAUUGGAAUAUGGCCUUUAAUGUAAAUUCAUUAUUUUACGGUGCGUUGGUUGCACAAAAUAUCAAGAAAUUUCAUGAUAUUCUGCAACAAAUUAGACUGAUUAGGCAUGGAAUUUCAUGAUAUUUGGUGCACUCAAAUGCAGCCUUAAAUAUUUCGUUCAUCCUAUUUAGUCAAUUAGUACUGAGUCUGGUGGAGAUAUAUGUGUAGUGGGAUGGUGGAAGUGUGUAAGCCUUGCUGAAAAAACCACAUAGUUGACAGCUGUUAACAGAUGAUAUAUUGACAAGGGGUAGUGGAGCUUGUCCCUGGAGUCCUAUUCAUUGAUGAGGUUCACACGUUCGAUAUGGAAUGCUUUUCAUACCUUAAUCGUGCCCUUGAAAGCUCACUAUUACCAAUAGUAAUUUUUGCUUCAAACAGAGGAAUAUGCAAUGUUAGGUAAUGAGAAAUUCUAGGCUUACAUGAAAUGUGAAGGGUGUGAAAGGGCCUAAACUGGAUUCCAUGAAUAGUCCUUUUUUUUCCAUGCUUGGUUUGGCUGAAUGGAUGAGUAAGUUGUCAAUCAUAUGAAAAGUGCCCAAGUCCAUCAAGGGGGCCUAUUUUGAAUAAUCAAGGGUUUGGAAUAGGAACAAGGAGCUUGUUCAAACUUCAAACCAAGUCUGCGUUUUUGUUCUACCAGCUAGUUCAUUCUCAAA